rnacentral:rRNA from 1 species
UACAGAGGUCUCAAGCGUUGUUCGGAUUCAUUGGGCGUAAAGGGUGCGUAGGCGGCGCGGUAAGUCGGAUGUGAAAUCUCGGAGCUUAACUUCGAAACUGCAUUCGAUACUGCCGUGCUUGAGGACUGGAGAGGAGACUGGAAUUUACGGUGUAGCGGUGAAAUGCGUAGAUAUCUGGAGGAACACCGGUGGCGAAGGCGGCAUCCUGGACCAAUAUUGACGCUGAGGAGCGAAAGCCAGGGGAGCAAACGGG